rnacentral:sRNA from 1 species
UUUCGCUACCCACUGAGUCUCAGCCCAGAUGACCGCAGGGGCAUUCAACACCUAUAUGGCCAGCCCUGGCCCACUGUCACCUCCAGGACCCCAGCCCUGGGCCCCCAGGCUGGGAUAGACACCAAUGAGAUUGCACCGCUGGAGCCGGACGCCCCACCAGAUGCCUGUGAGGCCUCGUUUGACGCGGUCUCCACCAUCCGAGGCGAGCUCUUUUUCUUCAAAGCGGGCUUUGUGUGGCGCCUGCGUGGGGGCCAGCUGCAGCCCGGCUACCCAGCAUUGGCCUCUCGCCACUGGCAGGGACUGCCUAGCCCUGUGGACGCUGCCUUCGAGGAUGCCCAGGGCCACAUUUGGUUCUUCCAAGGUGAGUGGGGGUUGGGGAUCUGCUCAAGAGACUUCCCAGAGCCAGGAAUGUUAUGGCCAAGGGGAGGAACAGACAGACGGAUCCUCAGGGACACAGUGGAUAGGGAGAGUUGCCCCAAAGCCUGGGGGCCAAGGGAGACAGAGUGUGGUUUGCUCCUCAGGCACAGGUAGGAGGCUCCCGGAGGUGGCUCUUGAGAUAGGAGCAGCGUGGAAGGGAUUGCACGGUGGGGCCACGUGUUGGUGCGUUCAACCCUCAGCCACCCCAUGGGGCGGGGUUCUAGAGAUGAGGCCUCUGGGGCUCCGAGGCAGUGAAGUGACUCACUGAGAGUGCAGCUGGGAAGAG